rnacentral:rRNA from 1 species
UACGUAGGGUGCGAGCGUUGCCCGGAUUUAUUGGGCGUAAAGGGCGCGUAGGCGGCUCGACACGUUCGUUGUGAAAUCGCCCGGCUCAACUGGGCGGGGUCAGCGGAUACGGUCGAGCUUGAGCAAGCUAGGGGGCAAUGGAAUUCCCGGUGUAGUGGUGGAAUGCGUAGAUAUCGGGAGGAACACCAGUGGCGAAGGCGGUUGCCUGGGGCUUUGCUGACGCUGAUGCGCGAAAGCGUGGGGAGCGAUCCGG